UCUCACUUUAGCUCUAACUUAUUUGUGUACGUGCACACCUGUACAAGAGAACAAUAUUACUUUUAUAGAGUUAGUAAUCAAAGUUUGACACCAACUCGAAUUGCUGGUCCUUCAUCAAGUUCGAGUCCUAAAACAAUUCAAACUCCGAUUCCUUAUCUUAGAUCCGGACAUACUUCUCUUCAUAUAAGGAUACCUCUUCUCCUUAUCUCCUAUGCAAUCUCUUCGAUCAGUUCAGAGGAUACUUAUAAGAUAUGGCUGGUUGAUCCCAUUCUUCACGUGCACAUCAUGUGCAUAGGCAGUAACACCUGUGUCUCCUAAGAUGAACCUGGUCUUUCACUGAGGUCAUUUGUCAUUCUUCAAAACUUCAACUGAACUUGGGCCAACAAAUU
rnacentral:lncRNA from 1 species